UACGUAGGUGGCAAGCGUUGUCCGGAAUUAUUGGGCGUAAAGCGCGCGCAGGCGGUCCCUUAAGUCUGAUGUGAAAGCCCACGGCUCAACCGUGGAGGGUCAUUGGAAACUGGGGGACUUGAGUGCAGAAGAGGAAAGUGGAAUUCCAUGUGUAGCGGUGAAAUGCGUAGAGAUGUGGAGGAACACCAGUGGCGAAGGCGACUUUCUGGUCUGUAAUUGACGCUGAGGCGCGAAAGCGUGGGGAGCAAACAGG
rnacentral:rRNA from 1 species